GUAGGGUGCGAGCGUUAAUCGGAAUUACUGGGCGUAAAGCGUGCGCAGGCGGUUCGUCGUGUCCGAUGUGAAAGCCCCGGGCUCAACCUGGGAAUGGCAUUGGAAACUGGCGGACUCGAGUGUGGCAGAGGGGGGUGGAAUUCCGCGUGUAGCAGUGAAAUGCGUAGAGAUGCGGAGGAACACCGAUGGCGAAGGCAGCCCCCUGGGCUAACACUGACGCUCAGGCACGAAAGCGUGGGGAGCAAACAGGAUUAGAUACCCUGGUAGUCCACGCCCUGAACCAUGUCAACUGGGUGUUCGGGAAGCGAUUCCUGAGUACCGUAGCUAACGCGUGAAGUUGACCGCCUGGGGAGUACGGCCGCAAGGUUA
rnacentral:rRNA from 1 species